AACGAACGCUGGCGGCAUGCCUAACACAUGCAAGUCGAACGAGACCUUCGGGUCGUAGUGGCGCACGGGUGCGUAACGCGUGGGAAUCUACCCUUGGGUUCGGAAUAACUCAGAGAAAUUUGAGCUAAUACCGGAUGAUGUCGAAAGACCAAAGAUUUAUCGCCCAAGGAUGAGCCCGCGUAGGAUUAGCUAGUUGGUGAGGUAAAGGCUCACCAAGGCAACGAUCCUUAGCUGGUCUGAGAGGAUGAUCAGCCACACUGGGACUGAGACACGGCCCAGACUCCUACGGGAGGCAGCAGUGGGGAAUAUUGGACAAUGGGCGAAAGCCUGAUCCAGCAAUGCCGCGUGAGUGAUGAAGGCCUUAGGGUUGUAAAGCUCUUUUAGCAGGGAAGAAGCGAAAGUGACGGUACCUGCAGAAAAAAGACGCCGGCUAACUACGUG
rnacentral:rRNA from 1 species